UGGGGAAUUGUUCGCAAUGGGCGCAAGCCUGACGACGCAACGCCGCGUGGAGGACGAAGAUCUUCGGGUCGUAAACUCCUGUCGAGCGGGACGAAUGCUUUGCGAUUGAAUACAUCGCAGAGGUGACGGUACCGCUAAAGGAAGCCCCGGCUAACUCCGUGCCAGCAGCCGCGGUAAUACGGGGGGGGCAAGCGUUGUUCGGAAUUACUGGGCGUAAAGGGCUCGUAGGUGGCCAACUAAGUCAGACGUGAAAUCCCCAGGCUCAACCUGGGAACUGCGUCUGAUACUGGAUGGCUUGAAUCCGGGAGAGGGAUGCAGAAUUCCAGGUGUAGCGGUGAAAUGCGUAGAUAUCUGGAGGAAUACCGGUGGCGAAGGCGGCAUCCUGGACCGGGAUUGACACUGAGGAGCGAAAGCUAGGGGAGCAAACGG
rnacentral:rRNA from 1 species